GAAGAGUCUCAUUUCACUUGUGACAGAUUCAAACUCCAGACGACGUUUGUCCUUGAGAGGGCGCUGUAAAAAAUAUAAAUGGGUGGAUCUGAGAGCAAACCCAGUGCAGCUGAGACCAGGAAAAGGAGAUGGAGCCUGGACUUUCCUCCUUUUUAUGGACUGGAAAAGUCAAAUUAUUUUAAGUUUUAUCAGUCGAUCAUUGAUUUCCUAAGACUCUAUGAAGAAAAAAAGACCAGCUUCGUUUUAUCAAGGAGCUACAGGAAAUACCACAACAAAGUGAGAAACUUGAGAAGAAGAAAAGAACUGGGC